GGGAUUAGCUUUCGGUCCGUGGCUUACGUCAUGUGUACUGUAUUAUGUCUAGUUCCAUCCUUGUAGUGAAUAUAUCUGGCAUUUAGUUGUCGGGUGUAGGAGCUGCAUCGUUUACUGUGAAAAAAUUAGAGUGUUUAAAGCAGGCUUAUGCCGUGAAUACAUUAGCAUGGAAUGAUAUUAUAGGACCUUGUCACUAUUUUAUUGGUUUGUAUGACUAGGUA
rnacentral:rRNA from 1 species